rnacentral:lncRNA from 1 species
ACAUUUUCUUUUUCUUUACUAGUAAUAAACUCUGACAUCCAUUUGAGAAAGCACCAGCCAAUCCUACCAAAGUCAUCUCAGCACCCUUUUGCUCCUCAAAAUUGACCAUCUUUUACAUUUAAUGUCUCCUGUAGGAAUGAAUAAAAAUGGUUAUGUCAAGUGCAGAAGUUAGCAUAGGUCAACUGGUGUGUAUUUUAUACCGUGUUCCUAAAUUAACAUGAGAAAAUGAAAAAUAAGAAAUAUUCUUAUGUAAAUGAAACAUAAGGACAGAAAACCACUCUAAUAGCUAUCACACAGGUGAAGUUAACUGACUUUAAGUCGGGACAAGUGUCUUAAUAACCAUCUAGUAAUACUUUUUAUAGAAGUGUUUUGCAGGCAUAGGUACAGACACGUGUACAGCUCGCCUCUCUCCCGAUACUCAUUUCCCUGAUUUUGCUCCUGCUUCUCAUGGGAUCAAGCUGCUGAGCCCUUAGCCACAUAUGCUGUGGUUCCUAGUAAUUACCUUUACAGCAGAUCACAUGUAAUUUUUCUUUUGAAAAAUGAAGUACAGAGAAGACUAUGAAAAAUAGUGGGGAAAAAAGCAUACCAUUAAAACAGAAACAUAGGUUGUGAUGUUCAAAUUUAGAGAAAAACUGGUUCGUUAUAAUUGUUAGUAGAUCAUGAAGCAGUGAACAGAUUGGACCAGGACUGAAGAGGAAGCCAGGCCAGAGAGCCCCAGGAUGCCUGACAAAAGCAGGCAUCUUUGAGGACACUGGUUACAAUGAUUACAGUAAACAUUUUCACAAGGCUGUAAGCUCUCCCAGGUCAGGGAACAUGGCUCAUUUAUGACUAUAUCCCUAGUCUUAAUAUUGUCCUCCACACAAUAGACUUUCAGUAAGUAUUUCUGGGAACCAGGGAACAGAGCUGAAUCAGCUCAGUGUUUUCAAAGCCAUUUUGGAUGUAAUCUACUCACCUAAUUCAUUCAUUCCUCUAAGGCAGGGAUGACAAAUGAACUUCAUCUCACUCUGAGGGAUGGGCAAUGGAUGCCUGGAAACACUGAUGACAUGGAUUGAGACCAAUUCCUGGCACAGAGGAAAGGAGUGCUACUCAUUCAUAAUGCCACCAUCAGAGAGUGGUGGCACAGAUGUUAUAUAUUCCCCAUCCCUGGUCUAGGAAAAAGGCAUCCAACAACUCACCCAUCUUCCCUUUCUGUCACUAUGCUGCCUCACGAAUGCUCUGCAUUAAGCCACUGCUCAUUAGAUGUUGGUUGAUCAAGAAGGCCAAGGCCUUUCCACUCGAUUUACCUGUGUGGCCAAACAGGUAGGGUCAUGACUUUACCUGGAAAUCUGAAAACAUGGCAUCCACAAUGCUCAUUAAGUAAGUCUUUAUUGAAAGAAAAUAAGCAUUUACUUCUAAUACCCUUUGGAGAGAAAGAGCUUGUCCAUCUCAAUACAACUUUAAUUGAUGUCUAAGGCAUUUGGAAUUACUUGGGAUUUUGGUUCAAAAAAACAUGGCCGAGUUCAAUUCUCUUUGGUAUUCAUGCUUAAUCUUAAUCUAUUUGUUUCUUAGUAGAAUCCAUAACCUUCUCAGUACUUCAUUGUUAUGACUUAACCAACACUGUUGAAAUAACUCAUAUAUUUUCAUCAGAAAAACUUUGAAGGAUGCUAAGGGGAGAGGCCUCUGAAACCAAGGGUCUUAAGAAGAAAGCCAGGAAAAAUGACAGGAAGAACCAACUUCCCUCUACCAAUCCACACUCAGGAUUCACUCUGCCACUCAGACUAUUCUUAGUAAAAUAGGUUGCUUCUGGCAGGAUGGCUCCCACUAUCAGGGGUCCUCCACUAACUCCCCUCUCUGCAGUGGGAGGUUAGUACCCCUCAGAAGUAUUUCAGAAAAGAAGGAUGAAACAUUUGGAGGAAGGAAGAAAAUGGAAGGAUAUCAUCAAAGAGCACUACAUUGUAUACCUAAAACUAAUAUAACACUGUAUAUUAACUAUACCGGAAUAAAAAUAAAAAUUAAAAAAAAAGGCAAAGUCCUGGGGGAUGACGGGAUUUUCAAUGCAACAUUCCCUCAUCAUAGGUAGAGUCUUUAAUACAACACUGGCACCAAUACGAGAACAGAGCUAAAUUAAAAUUAUCCUCAAAAUGCCAAUGUAGCUCAUGUGCACGGCAGGAAAAAGGGUGACCCAAAUCCACAGAUCUGUUCCUACUGCACAUUGUGCCUUGCCCAAGUACCACUGGCAGUCCAGAGUAACAAAACUUUGUUAAAAGUCUGUGUAUCUUAGAGCUAUAAUAUGCCACGACACGUGCGUGCACACACACAUACACACACAGAUAAUAUGCACAUAU